ensembl:lncRNA
CAAAUGGGCAUCUCUUGCGGAUGAAAGUAAAGCAGCAAUUGGCUGAAGAGAGGAGGCCCUCCUUUUUAUAACUAGGGAUGGACAUAGCUGGUCAAAUUAAUAAUUAGGUAAAUACCUAACAGGAAUGUGGCCAGGAAAGAUUCAGUAACAAAAUCAUAUUUAGUUUUUCACAAACACAGAUAAAUAUCAAACAAUGUAUAUUUAUUUGCUGAAAAAUUCGGACUGGCAUGUAAGAAGUUGUCUGAGACCGGCACUCCAGAACAGUAGAUGGCGGUAAUGAACAUAAUGAAGUUAGAGGCCACCCCCCGUAGCAGAGGAAGUACUACCGCCACAACCAAACAUCUCUUGGCGUAACAAACCUACUGUAUAUAUUAUCAUGGAUUUAGCUUUUUCUCUUUGACUCCUGCAUUAUGAUUUUUUUUUUUACUGUAAAUAUGAUCUAGCAAGCUAAAUACUAUGGUACGACGGCUGAGCACGCUCGUCCCUUUGAUUUGACUCAGUCAUUGUUCGUUUAAUUUCCAAAGAAAUAGAGGCCGAGGGAUUUGCACUACCAACCCAGGUAAUAUUGCUAGUAACGGCGACGUAACCUUACAUUCUAGACAGUCCGAGCUAGCAAAUGAACGUUCGCUCGAUAGCUAGCUAACGCAAACUACACAGAUACAAUACGGAAUUGCGUUUUGAAAUUAGUCUAAUGUUAGCGUGCAAUGUUCAUGAAAAAUACUCGGUUAACUUUUUUUGACUGUGUACAGUAGUUAAUCAUCUAACUAGAAGUAUAGAUAUAAACCAGACACAACAUAGUUAUUGUAAGCGUAUUUUGUAAAUAAAUAUAGCUAUAAGUGAUGAUAACGGAACGUCUUUGUCCCAUGCCUUUUGCCAUGGUCUGUAGAUUUACCUGGCUGUAGGCCCACAACAAAAUCGCUUCAGUAGCAUCACGUGAUACAAAAGCCCCAUCUAACACAAAGCGUUCUUUUGAGUAACGUUAGGUUGUUAUAGUAGCAUAUUACAAAUUGAAUACAAAUCAAAGCAAUACCAACGUCAUCGUUUGCUCAGAAAAUGGACACUAUAGAAAGUGUACGAUUUCAAACUAUCCAUUCUGAAACAGAGAAUAGAUAUCAAAACCCACGCACUCAACAUGACGAAAAUGAAGGUAUCUUUAGUACAAAUGUGGAUGAAGAAAUUAAAGAUUAUUCCUUCACCGAAAUACAAGCUCAUGACCUAGAGCAUUAUAGAAGAUGUCAAAUAGGUAUCUCAUGUUCCCAAGAGGACUACCAAGUAGAUGUUUGCAGGAAUGUUAUAAAUCAAAUUAUAGGAGAUGGGGUGCAGACACACUGGAGUUUUUCCAGAUUAGUCAAGUGUUUCAGUGAUCGGGACUGUUCUAAAGUGAAGUUCAGCCAAGUCCUUGCUGAAUACAAGUCUGACAUUCUACCUCUCAUAAUUGAGGAAUAUGGUAGUCUUAGCCAAACUGAGAAGAAAAUGAUGUCCCUUAUUAAUCAGCUUUUGUGUGGAUUACAUUUGAUUGUUGGCUUAGCUCAUCAGGCCAAAAUAACGCUUCUACUGUGGGACAACAUGAUUUUCGGUGAGCAGUUAGUAUGCGCAGGAGCCCAUAGUCUUCGUUACGUUGGGCCAACUGAAUUGGAGUCUGGAACAGUGCGUGCUGUGAGAACACUGAGCAAUGCUUUCCAGACGCUGGAGUUUGUGGAGUUCAAAACAUUUUUGACCAGCAAAGGAGAAUUUGACGAACAGCUCUUUUCUCCAUCCAGUGUAAACAGAAUUGACAGUCUGUUUCAUAACGCUGCUGGGUUAUAUAGCAUCUGUAAUGAUUUGCUUCAGUUUACCAGUGGCUGCACAGAAAACAUUAGUUUGCUUGAGGAUGUCGCAGCUGAUUUGAAGGUUCAACAGUUCAGAGCGGGAUGCAGAGCACUUGGCCUGUUUUUCAAAUUUGUUAUUCAGCCUUUCUGGAAAGCCCUGACUUUGAGUGGAGAUUUGUUAAAGAUGAACAUAAGAUACCAAAUCUUGAUUGGAAAGCUUAAGGAAUGGCACAUAGAUGGCAAAAGCCUUGUGGAUGGAAAUGUUUGCUUGUUUGAUGACAUUGAGGUAGAAGGGGAUCCUGUCUUAGACAAGCUUACUAUGUCUAUAGACGAAGGCUGUUUCGAAUUGACAGUUCAGAUUGUCGAAUUGCUAUCCUACAGUUUUCUAAAGGUGUGUCAUCAGAUCCUGCCAAUUGAUCUAGAGCCUUCAGAUGACAUUAGAGAGAGGAAUGAUUUGGUGUCAAAGAUGGAUGAUCACAGCGGGCAGAGUUUAAAUGUCCCAUUACAUUCACAAAAGGCUAAAUCAAAUGCUACCUGUUUCGCCCUUGAAGGUAUGUUUGUAUCUAAGAGGCAUCGUUCUUGGAAAUGGCUGUCCUUAUUGGACAAAGAAAAAACUGUUUCAGUUUUAAAAACCCUGAAGCAAACUUUGAAACUGAACAAAAUCUUGAACAAAAGAAGAAAAGUUUUUGUGCGAUCAAAAUUCCCAAAUACAAAAAAUAAAAACAUGGCAGUUGACAUGGUGACAUCAGUUCAGUUGAGGCCAGCCAAGGAGAUGUCUUGGAAAGUUGAAGCUAUGACUAAAAUAAAAUCCCAGCAAUAUCACAAAUCAGCAUCAUGCUCAGGUACACUCGCAAUCAAGAAUUUUGGAAAAAGAGUGGAAGGGAAGGAACUUAAAUACGUGUCUAAGCAAAUUGCCAAUACGAAAUCUGAAGCAUUUGCGCACCAGAGCAAUAUUAGAAAGCCGGUUCAAGUAAAGCCAAAGCCUGGGCUAGAAGUAUUAGAAACAGGACCUCUACAAUGGCCCAAACAGUGUACUAGACAGGGAACACUGGUGAGGGGACAUUUGGAUGCACUUUCUAGUGUUUCUUUGUCCCCUAUGAGGGCCCGGGAUAAUGUGACCAUGGAACACUAUUUAACCCAAAAGCUGACACAGUAUGGUGGGCAGUGGAAGCACGUGAAAGACAUUGAUAAAAAUGUGGCUAUGAUAGAUGCGAAGGAUAGAUAUGCAGCAUUAGUCAGCCAGCUGUUAUUUCACAGGUUUGUUCUAGGUUUCCGCAAUAAGCACGGUGUCUUCAAUACCUCAUGUGCCGGUAGGAGGUUGCAGUUGAGCGAACUAGUGGAUAAUUUGAAACGUUCCUUAUUGACUAAACGAUGAGGAGGAGGAGGAUGUUAAAAGUGGAUGAUCACAAUAGUUUACUAUACAUUUGAUUACUGUGCAGACAAACGUGUAUUCCGUUCACAGAAAAUGCUCAUUUAAACUUAAUACUGUUACCGCAUAAAUGGAAACAAAAGGAAGCAGAAAUAACUGACUGAUCUCAGAUUUGUUCGAUCAGUUUAAAAAACACAAAUCCUGUUUCAGUGCUGAGAUGGAGUAGUGUCAACUAUUCUGCCAAAUAGACAGAUCAUGUUUUGAAAGGUCAAUAAGCUUGUUUUUGGUAAUACAUUUGCAGUGAACCACUUGUGGUUACUGUGGUGAAAAUGUUUAUAAUAUAUGUGAUAUGCAACAUUUUAGACAGCUGUACAAUUGGUAGGCUGAAAUGUCAUUUACUGUUGUGUGCAGCAACAAAGUAGUGCAUCUCUGGUAUAAGUGUAGAAGGGACAGCAUCUUAGAGGACUGCAAGUGUAUGUAAGGGUGGAGCCUCAUUUCUUUACCCUUAAAAAGAAAGGGUUUGAGUUGGUUGAUUUAGCAAUUUCCCUUGGCCUCCUGUUCACGUAUAGCUGACAUCUUGUGUAAAAAGACCAAGGUCACAAGAAAUGCUUUUUUAUUUUGGAAUGAUUGCUAGAUGUGCAACCUUGCAAGUGACUAAAUAGCCCUUUGAAAAACGUUUUGAAGUGCCUCAUUUCUUUUUGGAAACGUUGAAUAGUCAGUGUUCUUUGGUUAAAGAAGGUAUACACAUUUUUGGAAAGGACUUCUUAAUUUUUCUUCUCCAUUUUUUUCUUACAAACCAUAUAUGUUUACACCAAGACACCACAAAUUCCCUUUUUGGACACAUGACUGCUGUUGACUAGGUGGCGGAAGUUUUUUUCAUUCUGAGUGAGACUUUUUGCUGACCUGCUUCUCUGAAACGUGAGUAGCGUGACCCCAAAGGAUCAUAAAACCAAGCAACUCCCACUGGACUCAGCGUCUGGUGAAGCACAUCCAAUUCCGUUGUGGUUCUUAUCAUGCUGCUCGCUCAACAAGGACGUCUACACUGGAAUCUCUGUGCUGGAAUGAACACACACUCCGGUCCUGUGGCUCACACACCCCAAGCUGCCACAUGGAGUCAAGGUAAAUACACCUUUGUGUCUAACUGCUGAGUGUCUGUGAAGCAGAAUGGAUUCAUCAUCCCUUUUCCAUGGUAGACUGAACUGUUUGUCUUAUACAAGUGAACCUCAACCUCAGAAGAUCCUUGAUUUGCUGUACCAUAGGGACAUGAAGUUGAUUCUGUCGCCAACUUGUGGACCUGUCCUAAGGAUCUUCAAAAACACCACUGUUGUAUUUUUGAUCACAUAGGUUUUCCUGUCAGACCGGUUGUCUUUAAUUUCCAUGCCCUGGCCUGACUGACCGGAACAUUUAUCCGAACAGAAAUCUAAUGCUUCUCACAGUGGAGAAUUCUGGACUGGUUGUGAGGUCACAGGAAAUAGACUGCAUCUUCGACACAGCUCAAUAAAUGUUUUCACAAUUUAAAUCUGAGUUUACAGUAUGAACUGUGUCACAAAUUUAUUGGUGCCAUUGAUAUUUCCUGUAGGCUAAUUUUAGUAAUUACAACAUCAAGUUAAUAAAAGGAUCAAUAGUAUGUACCUACUAUGUUUUCAUUCUCCCAGCUCGAUGGAACUUGAUGUGCUGGAGUCCUUGCUUAAGAUGUAAAAUAUCAGGUUGUUCCUUACUUGCUGCAGCCUAAUGGUCAUCUUAUUGUGAAACCUGUAACACAUUUUUAAUCUCUCAAUUUUUUUAUGGUACCAACCAGUCUCUGGACAGUCAUAAGCUCCUAACAAACCUAACGACCCUGUUAACUAAAUAUGUAUAUCUAUUUAAAAACGGUGUUGUCUAUCUGGCCAAAACAAUUUGAUCUCUGAUACAUUCUGAAUAUGUAUCCGUAUUCAGUACAAUAUGUAUUGUGAAUGCACAUCAAUCAGAUUUUAGACCUCUGUUAGUCAUCGUUUUUUGGGGGGAAGCUAUAUCUGGGUUUGCUUUACCAGUUUUUCCUUGAACAAUGCCUUGAAAAAUAAAAAUGUUGAAAUGUUCCUUUUUGGUUUGGGCUUUACUUCGUUCCAAAACGAACUUGUUACUUGUGAUUAUCCCGUUUUAUGUUCACCACCCAUUUAAUGUAGUUGUAUGUCAACCUUUUGUGUAUUCUAUCCCUAUUCUAUCUAAAAUUACCAUUACACCAACUGCCAUUUUGGAUAUGUAAAUGUAUCUGGCGCGAAUAAAGCUGAUUCUGAAAC